CCCCUAGAUGUUCUGGGCCGCACGCGCGCUACACUGAACAGUUCAACAAGUCUUAACCUUGGCCGAUAGGUCUGGGUAAUCUUUGAACGCUGUUCGUGAUUGGGAUAGACCUUUGCAAUUAUGGGUCUUCAACGAGGAAUUCCUAGUAAACGCAAGUCAUCAGCUUGCAUUGAUUACGUCCCUGCCCUUUGUACACACCGCCCGUCGCACCUACCGAUUGAAUGGUCCGGUGAAAUCUCGGGACGGCGGCUUGGUCGCUUGCGUCCGACUGCUGAAACUUGAUUAAACCAUAUCAUUCAGAGGAAGGUGGAGUCGUAACA
rnacentral:rRNA from 1 species